GCUCCUAUUCUGAUGAAUUCAUAGUUCAAAUGAUUAAGUGAUUACACUGCAUUUUGUCUUUCGCUCCUAACUGAAUAUUCCG